AUUGCGGCGUCUAUACAUGCAGUCGAGCGGACAGAAGGGAGCUUGCUCCCGGAUGUUAGCGGCGGACGGGUGAGUAACACGUGGGUAACCUGCCUGUAAGACUGGGAUAACUCCGGGAAACCGGAGCUAAUACCGGAUAGUUCCUUGAACCGCAUGGUUCAAGGAUGAAAGACGGUUUCGGCUGUCACUUACAGAUGGACCCGCGGCGCAUUAGCUAGUUGGUGAGGUAACGGCUCACCAAGGCGACGAUGCGUAGCCGACCUGAGAGGGUGAUCGGCCACACUGGGACUGAGACACGGCCCAGACUCCUACGGGAGGCAGCAGUAGGGAAUCUUCCGCAAUGGACGAAAGUCUGACGGAGCAACGCCGCGUGAGUGAUGAAGGUUUUCGGAUCGUAAAGCUCUGUUGUUAGGGAAGAACAAGUGCAAGAGUAACUGCUUGCACCUUGACGGUACCUAACCAGAAAGCCACGGCUAACUACGUGCCAGCAGCCGCGGUAAUACGUAGGUGGCAAGCGUUGUCCGGAAUUAUUGGGCGUAAAGGGCUCGCAGGCGGUUUCUUAAGUCUGAUGUGAAAGCCCCCGGCUCAACCGGGGAGGGUCAUUGGAAACUGGGAAACUUGAGUGCAGAAGAGGAGAGUGGAAUUCCACGUGUAGCGGUGAAAUGCGUAGAGAUGUGGAGGAACACCAGUGGCGAAGGCGACUCUCUGGUCUGUAACUGACGCUGAGGAGCGAAAGCGUGGGGAGCGAACAGGAUUAGAUACCCUGGUAGUCCACGCCGUAAACGAUGAGUGCUAAGUGUUAGGGGGUUUCCGCCCCUUAGUGCUGCAGCUAACGCAUUAAGCACUCCGCCUGGGGAGUACGGUCGCAAGACUGAAACUCAAAGGAAUUGACGGGGGCCCGCACAAGCGGUGGAGCAUGUGGUUUAUUUCGAAGCAACGCGAAGAACCUUACCAGGUCUUGACAUCCUCUGACAACCCUAGAGAUAGGGCUUUCCCUUUCGGGGACAGAGUGACAGGUGGGUGCAUGGUUGUCGUCAGCUCGUGUCGUGAGAUUGUUGGGGUUAAGUCCCCGCACGAGCGCAACCCAUUGAUCUUAGUUGCCAAGCAAUUCAGUUGGCACUCUAAGUGACUGCAGUUGACCGAUCGAAGAAGUGCGAUGAACGUUCAAUUCAAUCCAUGUGCCCCCUGUA
rnacentral:rRNA from 1 species